rnacentral:rRNA from 1 species
UUCGAUGCAACGCGAAGAACCUUACCUGGUCUUGACAUCCCGGAGACCCUUAGGAAACUAGGGGUGCUUCCAUCUGGAAGAAUCUGGAGACAGGUGCUGCAUGGCUGUCGUCAGCUCGUGUCGUGAGAUGUUGGGUUAAGUCCCGCAACGAGCGCAACCCUUGCCUUUAGUUGCCAGCAGUUCGGCUGGGCACUCUAAAGGGACUGCCGGUGUUAAACCGGAGGAAGGUGGGGAUGACGUCAAGUCCUCAUGGCCUUUAUGACCAGGGCUACACACGUACUACAAUGGCCGAUACAAAGGGCAGCGACACUGCGAGGUGAAGCCAAUCCCGUAAAAUCGGUCUCAGUCCGGAUUGGAGUCCGCAACUCGACUCCAUGAAGUUGGAAUCGCUAGUAAUCGUGGAUCAGCAUGCCACGGUGAAUACGUUCCCGGGCCUU